AGUGAACGCUGGCGGUAGGCCUAACACAUGCAAGUCGAACGGCAGCACAGGAGAGCUUGCUCUCUGGGUGGCGAGUGGCGGACGGGUGAGGAAUACAUCGGAAUCUACCUUUUCGUGGGGGAUAACGUAGGGAAACUUACGCUAAUACCGCAUACGACCUACGGGUGAAAGUGGGGGACCGCAAGGCCUCACGCGAUUAGAUGAGCCGAUGUCCGAUUAGCUAGUUGGCGGGGUAAUGGCCCACCAAGGCGACGAUCGGUAGCUGGUCUGAGGGGAUGAUAAGCCACACUGGAACUGAGACACGGUCCAGACUCCUACGGGAGGCAGCAGUGGGGAAUAUUGGACAAUGGGCGCAAGCCUGAUCCAGCCAUACCGCGUGGGUGAAGAAGGCCUUCGGGUUGUAAAGCCCUUUUGUUGGGAAAGAAAUCCUGUCGAUUAAUACUCGGUGGGGAUGACGGUACCCAAAGAAUAAGCACCGGCUAACUUCGUGCCAGCAGCCGCGGUAACAC
rnacentral:rRNA from 1 species